ACCGUCCUGCUCUCACCACGGCUGCCCUGUCUCCCAGCCGUUCCCCAUUCUAGCUCUGUACUCGCCAACUCCCUCUCUCGACAUCCUCCCUACCUCCAGGCUCCAGCGCGAGGACUCGCAGCCCUACUCUUCCUCGCCCCUUCCCGUCGAAUCCGGUCGCCGAACUGCACGAGGAGGCGCUCGAGCUCGUCAUGCUCACGGGCGAGCCAGUCUUAGGCGCCGUCGGAGGCACGGGACUCACCGGCGGGGACGCCCUGCCCUGUCUGGUCUCCCGCGCCCAGCUCCGAGUAUGAAGGCGUGGAGCAAGAUGGCCGUGGCAGCGGGUUGUGGUGGUCGUCCUCGGGGAGGCGGCGACAACUAUGGCGCUGAGUGUUGGAGGUUGGUGCGUCCACGGGGGAAGUUGAAGAGCGAGGGCGUGAGGGGCUGGCCAUCCUCGCGCAACCAGUGCAGUGCAAAGGGGGCUUCAAUCCCGUCUGAUGCAGUUAUUCUUGGGGUUCCCGUAUAAGAGAAUCUACAGUGCUCAGCUCAGCCUACCUUCAGUUCUGACGGCGUCGCCCAUGGAUCCUCAGGCACAGCUAUAAUUGAGAGUUUAUCCAGAUCGAUGAACCUCGAGCAAGCGGCCGUGACCCACAUCACCUGACCUCGAGCAAGCGACCGUGACCCACAUCACCUGACCUUGACCCACAUCGAACAAGAGUGCAAAUCGACCAUGACGUCCAGCCUCGGCCACAAGUAUUUCUUCACCCACCGCUGAUUGUGAUGAUUGGGUUGCCAUCAUGAUUCAUAGAGGAUAAGCACCAGCAACGAGGAACUGGGAAGGAGAGGUUGAUACUUGAGAUAGGUUCUACGAUAGCAAUGGUGGUGGCAGCGUCUUGCAAUUCACAUAAAUGGGGUGGAGAAUAGCAAGGAUUAAUCUUCAAAUCCAACUAGCCAACACUUCACAAUGUAUGGCUACGAUGGUGGCAGAAUGGAGGAGCUCAUUGUGUUCUGUAAGAUGGCUGUGUGGUAUGUGGAGUGAAGAUGCAUCUAGCAUCAACUUCUUAGUUAUUGAGGACACCUUUACUUGGUGGUGCUACUGGCACCCAAAUAUCUCAUUUCUCUUGAUUAUAUAGUGAAAGUAAUUCACUCAUGUUCGCCCAAAUUCCCAAAUUUUUAUAUUUGAAAAGUUUGGUCUGAUCAAAUAUGUUAAAUAUUGACACAUACUCCCUCCAUCCGUAAUUACUUGUCGUUCAAAUAGAUGUGCUAGAUACAUCCGUUUGGCCGAUAAGUAAUUCCGGAUGCAGGGAAUAUUUGACUAUGCCUAUUUUUUUUAUUGCUCUUGGUGGGAAGGGAUAAGUGUUAUGAAUUGUUGCUAUUGUUGUGAGAAACAUAUAUUGUUGAGCUUACAGAUAAGCACAUAGAGGAUGAAAAAUAUAAUAUUACUUAUGUGUUGUUGUGCUAUUUCAUCUCCUGAAUUCGAUGCAAUGAAGUGAAUAAGGAGGUGGUGCUCAAGGGAACAAAGGGUAGAAGAAUAUA